rnacentral:rRNA from 1 species
GGUAACCGGCGAACGGGUGCGUAACACGUGAGCAACCUGCCUUAGUGUGGGGGAUAGCCGGCCCAACGGCCGGGUAAUACCGCAUACGAUCAGUGGGGGGAGUCCCCUGCUGAGGAAACCUCCGGGGCACUAAGAGGGGCUCGCGGCCUAUCAGCUAGUUGGCGAGGUAACGGCUCACCAAGGCGACGACGGGUAGCUGGUCUGAGAGGAUGGCCAGCCACAUUGGGACUGAGAUACGGCCCAGACUCCUACGGGAGGCAGCAGUGGGGAAUAUUGCGCAAUGGCCGAAAGGCUGACGCAGCGUUCCGCGUGGGGGAUGAAGCUUUUCGGAGUGUAAACCCCUGUUGCCCGGGACGAACCUCCUCUUUCGAGAGGACUGACGGUACCGGGUGAGGAAGCACCGGCUAACUCCGUGCCAGCAGCCGCCGGUAAUACGGAGGGUGCCGAGCGU